AUCAAUAAUAAUAAUUGAUAACCAAUUGAUAACCAAUUGAUAAUUGGUGCUAUAAUUAAGGUAACAAAAAUCUUUAAAAUGUGAAAAAUAUAUUUAAAAAUAAUAAAUUACUUUAGCUGUUUGUGAAAUCCCUGGAAUAUAGCAAUCCUAUGCAACACAUAGUGUCUGUCAGGAAUACCAGUGAGGAUAGGCUGUUGCCCUUAGCUGUUGAGGGGUUAGCAGCUGUUGUGAAACAGCGCCAUCUGGACUAUUCAUCUUUUGUAACUAAUGACUUCUGGCACUCUGGGUGGGUGCAUUGAACUUUCCAAAUGCUCUUAACCUUUAGACUGAUAGUCUCCGGAAAAGUUAAAAUAUCUUUUUUUAAAAGCUAAUAGCUAAGGUGUAUCAUGACCUGAUAUUUAGGCAAAUUGGGCAAAUUCUCAGCGUAGCUCAUAUAAUUCAAAAACAGAGACUCUCCUAUUGCAGAAAUUUAGAACAGCAGCCAAGCUAUGGAACAUUGUAAUGAGUGUGACUAGGUCAUGCAACUUAGGAAAUACAGUAUUGUAAAAGGUAUUAUACCUUCAGUUAAAAAGUGGCUUAUAAAGUCAAUUUAGUUCAGAUUUGUUUUUACAAUUAUUAUUUUUUUUAAUGAGAGACUUUCACAAUGAAAAAGAAACUUCCAUCUGUUUUAAUUUGCAUAUCUCUUUGAAAUCUGCUUUCCUAAUUUAAUGAAAGUUGGACAUCAUGACUGGUAAUUCCUCUAGGUUCUGGGUUUUUGUUUUUUGUCUUUUGUUUGUUUUUCUUGUGAGCAUUUAUCUCUAUGGGUAUCAAUGGUUACUAAGGCAAAAGAAAACUUUGAUCCAUAUUUGUGGAAUUACAACAAUCCAAGAGAUAACAAUUUGCAAAGUACUAGAAAAGCAUCAAGAAAGUCUAAGGACAAAAGAAUCCAAGAAUCAUCCCUCUCCCAUAUUUUCUUUAAUGUCAAAGAGAAACUAGACAGAAGGCCAUUUAACUGUUUUGAGGCGUUGAGCACAAAGAGUCUCAUUUCACUCUGUAGCCAUGAAAAAUAACUAAGGAAGAAUGAGGGAAACACUGGAAGUUUCUGGCAUUAUGUCUGCACACUCAGGAGGCUCACAGACCCUGGCUCCUUUGUCUAUGUGGAAUCCAGGAGCACUUUUUCUGGAUGUCAUCAACAUUUCCAGUGGCUUCAUGGUUGUACUGGUUGGGACAGUCAUUGUGCCUGUUCUGCCCAAUGGCUCCUCAUAACUAAGAUUGCUCUCUCUAAAGCUCAAAGUUCAGAGAAGAAACUCUAGGCUGUUCUUUGGCAAGGAAUGGCCCAUGAUAGGUGUAAGGAUAGGCAACAGAAUCCACGAUGGCUUUGUGUGAAGGAUUCUGUCCAGUGGGGACAAAGGCAACUAUUUAAGUCAAUUAGAUUGUCUCUCUCUGGAAUUUCCACUAGAGAAUACUGGCCAAUGGGCAAAGAGGUAAAAUAUAGGCAGAAUAAGCAGAGUAGAAGUCCUUUGUUUCCUCUAGAAAUCAGGUCCUAUUGGUUUCUGGGACUUGUUAGGUUACGAUUUGAGUCCAUUUAUACCCUUUUCUCCAAGGAUAUCAGAUAGAAUCUCUGGCUCUUGCUACCAAAAUACCUCAUGAAAACAAAAUUUAAGUUUGGAGUUUUGUGUUUUGCUUCUAGCUGCCUUCAGUUUUAGCCAAAGAGCCAGAGAUCUUACGCUUACUAAACCAAAGAAUCUGUGUGGCAGGCCAAAUAGAAUAUGUGGAAAUACAUGGAAAAUUUUCUCUCACAUGUUUGGAGGAGAAAAUGGAUGAAGUGAAAAGCAUGAUCUGUAUGUGGGAGGGGAGGUAGGCAGGGAAAUUUAUGCUUAAUGAUCCCAGUCUGGUCUGUGAAAUAGGUUAUCUGUUUCUAAGGACAGCUAACCCGAGGUUUGAAAGUGAUUGAAAUUUCUAAAGUAACCCAUUCAGACAGCAUUUUAAUGGAUCGUUGCCUUUGUUGCCUAGCAGUGGACUCUGCAGAGGUAUUACAUGUGAGUAUCCAUUUGCAGGAAUUGAGUCACAAGACUUUCUUGAUUCUAUUCAACAGCACUCAGCUGUAAGGCGAGUCGAAAAAAGUAAGGGAAGCAGAGAGAGGAGUUGGCAAUGCUGUGAAAAACCUUUGUGGGUCUUCACAGUGCUGUGUGAUAGGAAAGAUCAUCAGCACACGAUCCACAUUUGCUUACCAAAGAACUUAAGAGAACAUGUGGAAAGGCAAACUCAAAACACAUUAAAUCAUAUCUAAAAAUAAAGGCAGAGGGAACAGCAUGUAUAGAUGUACCAAGGAGCGCAAGAUGUCUUUCAUUAUUUCACAAAAAGAACUCCAGGAGAGCAUCUGGAACACAAGAUAUCCUGUGGGUAGGUGACAAGAGAUGGGCCUGAAAAGGAAGCUAUGCCAGAGAAAGUGUGGUCCUGAAACCUUACUGAUGCUUUGAUUAUCUACAGAAUCCCAUAAGAAAGAAACCUCGAAAGCAGAGAAUGAAGAGGUGCCCAGCCUUGUGUGAGGCACAGCUGACCAGAACAAAUGGAGCAAAGAGGUAGCUGCUUGGUGCACUUCCCAGACUCAGGAAAAGUGUCUGCAGGUAAGUAAAGGAAAGGAGUGUGGUCCCAAUUACAGUGCUAGGUGUGGUGCUAGGUGCAGUGCUAGGUCACCUGGGCUGGUGACCCUCAGCCUGAUCAUCUCACAUGGGCAUCCUCAGUAGCCACCCAUUAGAGCCAACGUCCCACAUCUUCAAGGUAUACAAAAAAACAAGACUUAAUAUGGUAUUGUAACUGAAAAAUAUGUUUUCCUCCUUAAACAACAAAUCAAGAAAGCAGCAACAACAACAACAAAAAUAAUAUCUGGACUCAAUGAUCCAUACUGUUCUUUCUCCUUUAAGAUAUCAUGUCUUUGAAAUGCCACAUUUCCCUAUAUUAUCAGCAUUAAUCAGUGGAUAUUGCUAAUGACUAAAAUGUUACACAAUUUUUGAAAAUUAGCAAUGAUUUGGAAUUUAGCCCAGAUAGACCUAUGUCAACUUAUAAAAUUUGAUGCCUUAUUGUGUUAUUUUUCAAAAUAUACUUGUGCAGCAUAUUAGGAAAGUUUCUAAGGUGUCUGUGAAGCAGCAAAGUCGUAAAGGCAAUAGUACCAACUUCUUGGCAAAACUUUUUAUAUUCAUGCUAAUAAUGGCCUAAUUUUUCUCCUAAGUAUUGCAUUUGUUUCCUUGAUUGUCAUAUGACUUUAGUCAAGUGACAUUUAUUGUGCAUGUGUGAUAGUUUAAUCUCUUUUCUUCUAAGUCUUGCUUAUCAGUCCUUUCUCUAUUUGCGUUUCCUAGUCUUGGACUUUUGAGGAGGAGGCUAAUAAAGUUCAUGCAAAAAAGGAGAAAGAAUGAUUCUAAGUUAAAGUGUGACUGGCAGAGGCUUAAGAAGAAAACGAAUUUGUGUCUGAUGCAAGGAAGGUCACUCCAGGCAUAAGUAAAAUAACAAAAUAUAUUAUAUGGCACACUGACCCAUGAGUUUCAGUAAAUUUUAAAUUAAAUAAAAACUGAGAUGUUGUAGCUAAUAAUAUCCUUAGCAUACUAGGCAUGGGUAUGCACAUAAUCUAAAUAAGCAUGAAAUUAAACCCAGCCUGCAUAAGGUCACCAAAUCAACCAUUUUGAAUAAAUUAAGAAAUCAAUUUAGGGAGAAGUAUCAUUAUUUAUUUAUUUAUUUACUGAACUGAUAGUUUAUUCCUAAACCUACAAAUCUUAUGAUGAGGUCAAUGCAAUCUCAACCUUACACAGUGUAUCAAAUGCAGCACAUAGUAUGGAUGGGAUUCGAUUGCUUUUUUCUUAAGGUACUUGCAAUGACAAUUUACAAAUUGUUUUUGCCAUUUCAAAAAACAUACAGUGAACUAAAUAAUGCAAAGCAAAAACACUCAGUUUAUCUACCAAAUAAACUGACUUACAUCAUGAUCAAUACCCCUUAUACACAGGGCAGGGUUCAGAGGAAGGUGACAGGUAUUUAUACACUGAAAGAAUUCUUCUAGUCUUCCAAUCUCUUUCUUCAGUACCUCCUGUGAAAAAUCAUUAGAAAAAACAUUUCAGAAACUUAAAGAACUUGAAUUUUCUUUCAAGUUAUAAUUUUCUUCUAUUGAUUAAAUAAACUCUAAUUCUGGGGCUGCAUACUUGGAUGCUUUGGGGUCAAACUGGUUAUAUAGCCAUAUACAAGGAGGCAGUGGGCUAAAGACAAUAGGGAGUGUUGGAGAAAAUGGGGAACUAGAGCUCAUGCUCUUUCUACAGGAUUUUAAAUUCAAUUACAAACAAAACCAAAACAAAGAACUAUCGUGUUCAAACAAAACACAGGAUGGGAUGGAUUUGACUUGUGGCCCACCAACUUGCAAUACCUGCUUCAAGUAAUGAUUAACAUGAUCGACUUCUGAUAAUUUCUUUGAAUCUUAGUUUGUAACUCUCAAGAUUUAUACUUAAUAGUAACAGUAAAUUUUAUUUAUUUAG